UACGUAGGGUGCAAGCGUUAAUCGGAAUUACUGGGCGUAAAGCGUGCGCAGGCGGUUUUGUAAGUCUGUCGUGAAAUCCCCGGGCUCAACCUGGGAAUUGCGAUGGAGACUGCAAGGCUAGAAUCUGGCAGAGGGGGGUAGAAUUCCACGUGUAGCAGUGAAAUGCGUAGAGAUGUGGAGGAACACCGAUGGCGAAGGCAGCCCCCCUGGGUCAAGAUUGGACGCUCAUGCACAAAAGCGUGGGGAGCAAACAGG
rnacentral:rRNA from 1 species